rnacentral:rRNA from 1 species
UACGAAGGGGGGCUAGCGUUGCUCGGAAUGACUGGGCGUAAAGGGCGCGUAGGCGGCUUGUACAGUCAGAUGUGAAAUUUCCUGGGCUCAACCUGGGGGCUGCAUUUGAUACGUAUGGGCUUGGAGUGGGGAAGAGGGUCGUGGAAUUCCCAGUGUAGAGGUGAAAUUCGUAGAUAUUGGGAAGAACACCGGUGGCGAAGGCGGCGACCUGGUCCUUGACUGACGCUGAGGCGCGAAAGCGUGGGGAGCAAACAGG